rnacentral:rRNA from 1 species
UACGUAGGGCGCAAGCGUUGUCCGGAAUUAUUGGGCGUAAAGAGCUCGUAGGCGGUUUGUCGCGUCUGCUGUGAAAACCUAAGGCUCAACCUUGGGCUUGCAGUGGGUACGGGCAGACUAGAGUGCGGUAGGGGUGACUGGAAUUCCUGGUGUAGCGGUGAAUGCGCAGAUAUCAGGAGGAACACCGAUGGCGAAGGCAGGUCUCUGGGCCGAUACUGACGCUGAGGAGCGAAAGCGUGGGGAGCGAACAGG